CUUCACCUACGGGAGGCAGCAGUGAGGAAUAUUGGUCAAUGGCCGAGAGGCUGAACCAGCCAAGUCGCGUGAGGGAUGACGGCCCUACGGGUUGUAAACCUCUUUUGUCGGGGAGCAAAGAGAGUCACGUGUGGCUCAUUGAGAGUACCCGAAGAAAAAGCAUCGGCUAACUCCGUGCCAGCAGCCGCGGUAAUACGGAGGAUGCGAGCGUUAUCCGGAUUUAUUGGGUUUAAAGGGUGCGCAGGCGGAGGUGCAAGUCAGUGGUCAAAUUGCGGGGCUCAACCCCGUACUGCCGUUGAAACCGC
rnacentral:rRNA from 1 species